UACGUAGGGGGCAAGCGUUAUCCGGAUUUACUGGGUGUAAAGGGAGCGCAGGCGGUAUGGCAAGUCAGAUGUGAAAUCCCGCGGCUCAACCGCGGAACUGCAUUUGAAACUGUCAGUCUUGAGUACCGGAGAGGUCAUCGGAAUUCCUUGUGUAGCGGUGAAAUGCGUAGAUAUAAGGAAGAACACCAGUGGCGAAGGCGGCCGCCUGGCCUGUUGCUGACGCUGAGGCACGAAAGCGUGGGGAGCAAAUAGG
rnacentral:rRNA from 1 species